UGGGGAAUUUUGGACAAUGGGCGCAAGCCUGAUCCAGCCAUGCCGCGUGCGGGAAGAAGGCCUUCGGGUUGUAAACCGCUUUUGUCAGGGAAGAAACGGCCUUUUCUAAUACAGAGGGCUAAUGACGGUACCUGAAGAAUAAGCACCGGCUAACUACGUGCCAGCAGCCGCGGUAAUACGUAGGGUGCAAGCGUUAAUCAGAAUUACUGGGCGUAAAGCGUGCGCAGGCGGCUUUGCAAGACAGAUGUGAAAUCCCCGGGCUCAACCUGGGAACUGCAUUUGUGACUGCAUGGCUAGAGUACGGUAGAGGGGAGUGGAAUUCCGCGUGUAGCAGUGAAAUGCGUAGAUAUGCGGAGGAACACCGAUGGCGAAGGCAAUCCCCUGGACCUGUACUGACGCUCAUGCACGAAAGCGUGGGGAGCAAACA
rnacentral:rRNA from 1 species